CCCAGUGACAGCCAAAAGACCUCUGCGAGGAGCCAGGAAAAGAAACCCCACCCAGACGGCAGGUGAGAUGGCUCAAUGCGUGCUUGCCAAGCCUGGCUACUUGAAUUUGAUCCCCUGGCCCCACAUGCUGGAAGGGGGGAAUGGAGUCCUGCACACUGUCCUCUGACUUCCACAUGCAUGUGCGUACCCCUGUUCCCCGUACAUACCCACACACAAUGCAAAGAAAAAUGUAAUUGAGAAAGCAGGUCAGGUCGUGCAGCCAGCAUGAGGGAAUUACCUGGCUCUUCCAUGGUUUCCUCACAGGAUAGCCACAUGCCACUGCGGAAGGCAAGGAAGGAGAACCGGUCAUCCCCAGUCUCCCAGGUGUAUUGUACCACCUCCUGGGCUGAUGUGUUGGCGAUGCCCCCAUCCAAGGACAUCGGCAUGUCAAAGCACUUGGCUGCCAGACUUUGCCCGCACAGGGGCUUGGGCACCUUCUGUGUGCCCACAAACCACUCGCUGCUGAGCAAGGAUGCUGUGGAGAGGCCGAGUGAUAACAUGUUGAGGAUGGCAGAAAUGAAGGUCCGCUGGUCAGAGGAACCCUUCUGGAACUCCAUCUGCAACACACAAGCAGGCGGGGAGGACACAGAUCUGAGGAGUGCGCUCCCUGGACCCCACUCACUCCUCUUCAACACGGAUGGGCAAAGCCUGACACUUGAGCGUUUUCUCCAGGAGGCCCCGUAGAAGCCAUGCUUCUAUGUGGCCAGGAGCAAGGGCUGUAGUGAUGAUCCUCAUCAAACUGGGACCCUGUGUCACUCCUGCUCUGCAGGAGUGAUUUUCAUAGGCAGAGUGAUGGCUGGAUAGACACUGGACAGGUUUACAGAGGGAUGAAGGUGAUACCAGAUGGGAGACAUUCUGAUGGGGAACUCUAAAGUCAGCGCAAAUUGGAUGUGAGCAGGGCUUUAGGAAGCAGGAGAGUUUGCCUGGCUUCCAGCUGGCAAGCCCUAGGGAAUGUGUGUAAGUGCGCUUGGGCAGAAGACUUCCUCGGGACCCCACUGAGGGUAUGUAUGCUCAGGCAAAGGCAGCAAGGGAACAAGGGCGGCUCAUUGUGAAUGCUCUGAGCUGUCAGCCUCCUUUUGUGUAAUUUUUUAAUAAUAAAUUGUUCAUGUAUGUAAAGUA